rnacentral:rRNA from 1 species
AGCAGCCGCGGUAAUUCCAGCUCCAAUAGCGUAUAUUAAAGUUGUUGCAGUUAAAAAGCUCGUAGUUGAAUUUCGGGGUCAGUAAGUUGGUCGUGCCACUGGUAUGUACUGGCUUUACUGAUUCCUCCUUCUUGUAGAACCGUAAUGCCAUUAAGUUGGUGUUGCGGGAAAACAGGACUGUUACUUUGAAAAAAUUAGAGUGUUUAAAGCAAGCUAACGCCUGAAUACAUUAGCAUGGAAUAAUGAAAUAGGACGAACGAUCCUAUUUUGUUGGUUUCUAGGAUUGACGUAAUGAUUAAUAGGGAUAGUUGGGGGCAUUAGUAUUCAAUUGUCAGAGGUGAAAUUCUUGGAUUUAUUGAAGACUAACUACUGCGAAAGCAUUUGCCAAGGAUGUUUUCAUUAAUCAAGAACGAAAGUUAGGGGAUCGAAGACGAUCAGAUACCGUCGUAGUCUUAACCAUAAACUAUGCCGACUAGGGAUCGGAUGAUGUUAAUUUUUAAUGACUCAUUCGGCGCCUUAC